UACGUAGGGUCCGAGCGUUGUCCGGAAUUACUGGGCGUAAAGAGCUCGUAGGUGGUUUGUCGCGUUGUUCGUGAAACUCACAGCUCAACUGUGGGCGUGCGGGCGAUACGGGCAGACUAGAGUACUGCAGGGGAGACUGGAAUUCCUGGUGUAGCGGUGGAAUGCGCAGAUAGUCAGGAGGAACACCGGUGGCGAAGGCGGGUCUCUGGGCAGUAACUGACGCUGAGGAGCGAAAGCGUGGGGAGCGAACAGG
rnacentral:rRNA from 1 species